rnacentral:tRNA from 1 species
UCUAAGGAUGUUUCUAGCAACUUAAGCUUGCUUUUGUUCGUGAAACACUUAGCAGAUUGGCAAACAAAGCCGAUCAUAUAUCGAACCGGACUGUCCUCAUAUCUCUUCAGUAUACAUCAGACCUACCGGUCUGUACUGGGUCGGUAGCUCAGGUGGUUAGAGCGCACGCCUGAUAAGCGUGAGGUCGGAGGUUCAAGUCCUCCUCGACCCACCAUUAACGCGUCUAUUUUAGGAUAUGGCGUGUAGGGGGCCUUAGCUCAGAUGGGAGAGCGCCUGAUUUGCAUUCAGGAGGUCAGCGGUUCGAUCCCGCUAGGCUCCACCAUAUAACAAGUUUUGAUCAGAUCGCGAAGCACAAUGGUUUGUGUUUCGCCGUCCGAUUGGACGCAUUGACAUCGUUUAGAGAGAUACAAAUAUCAACAUUGUUUGAUCGCCCGAAGUAGCGGGAUGAUCUCAAUUUGGUGAAGCAAGUUUAGGCUUGUGGAGAGCUUUUGGAUCCACCCUUUUCCUCGGGUGCCCUUAAGUAUGCUGGGUUGAAACGAACAUGUUGUCCAAGUCAAGUACACUAACCCGAGCAUCAGUAAUGUUGCUCAACAGUUCAAACACACCGACAUGUGUUUGAGCGGGAAAGUAUGACUUUUGACUGGAAGAUGAGAUGCCUGGUGAACCAGCUUGGCAUCAUUCAGACGCAAGUCUGACUUUUUCU